rnacentral:rRNA from 1 species
UACAGGGGGCUCGAGCGUUAGUCGGAAUCACUGGGCUUAAAGGGUGCGUAGGCGGCUCGCCAAGUGCUUUGUGAAAUCCCACAGCUCAACUGUGGAACAGCAGGGCAAACUGGCGAGCUUGAAGCAGGUAGGGGCUGGAAGAACAGUAGGUGGAGCGGUGAAAUGCGUAGAUAUCUACUGGAAUGCCGAUGGGGAAGCCGUCCAGCUGGGCCUGUCUUGACGCUGAGGCACGAAAGCGUGGGGAGCAAACAGG